rnacentral:rRNA from 1 species
UACGUAGGCAGCAAGCGUUGUUCGGAGUUACUGGGCGUAAAGGGUGUGUAGGCGGUUGGAUAAGUGUGGUGUGAAAUCUCCCGGCUUAACUGGGGGGGUGCGCUACAAACUGUCUGACUAGAGUAUGGGAUGGGAGAGUGGAAUUCCUGGUGUAGCGGUGAAAUGCGUAGAUAUCAGGAGGAACACCGGUGGUGUAGACGGCUCUCUGGACCAUUACUGACGCUGAGACACGAAAGCGUGGGUAGCAAACAGG